rnacentral:lncRNA from 1 species
AGGGGAAUUCGGCCAGAUUAUUCAAGACAACGUUUGAGGGCUCUAAAGUGUUCUGAUCGGGCUGAUAUUUUGUGGAUAGCUUCGUGACUCAGUGGUCUUCAGAUUCAACGGUGGAGAUUUGGUUUCAACGGUUGGUUUGUGAGAAAUCCGAGUUUUAGCGUAGCUGGUCGCCAUAGUUCUUCAGCUGGUGUGGUCUUGAGUGUUUGAAAGAUCCAACGGUGAGUUCUUCUCGGUUUGAGCUGAAAUUUUGCAGAGGUGUUCCUGACCUGUUUAUCUAGGAUUUGUACGGUGGAGAUAUGAUUUGGUGACCGGAAUCUUAGCGAACCUAGGGUCGUUUGGAACUGCAUAUUUUAGGCUCUUGUUGCUCUCUGUUGUUGAGUUUUUCUUGUGUUGGAGAUUGCUCUUUGGAGCCUUAGUCUCUGUAUCUGUUCUUGUGGAACAGGGAGGACGUGGUUGUAACACUCAUACAUUUGAUAUAGUGGAUUUUGAGUGGACUACGGUCCCGUGGUUUUUCCUUCUCACAUCGAGAAGGUUUUCCACGUAAAAUUGGUGGUCUCAUUUACUUUAAGUUUUUGAAGUUAUUGCUGCCAAGUCCAUUGUAUUUUCUUCACAAGGUUUACAUUAGUUCGGGUGAAACUUUAGUCCGCUGCGUAAUCGUGUGUCGUUUCCCCAACAAACUCUUCUCUCCUAAUCUCACCAGACGACAAAUAGGGUUCGGAUUCACCUCUCCACCAAACCAUUGGGAGAUUGAUGAGAUCGAAAUUUGAUAAAGAAAAUAUUGUAGAUUUGUUAAUCUCUCUUAGAAAAUUUAUCAGUUUUAUGGAUAAUUAUAACACAAAAUCC